rnacentral:lncRNA from 1 species
GACCUGACCUUUUCAAGAUCAUUUUCUCUCCAUUGCUUUUCACAAAGCUAUUAACUUGUCUCCUUCCCAAAGAUUGCAAUAAUUUAUUUCCCAUUAAUAAAAAAUUCCUGGUGCCAUGCAAAUUAAAAUUUAUUCAGCAAAUAGAAUUCUUUGGAUUAUUUUCUAAUGGCUUUAAAUACUUCCAGCUUAGGAAGAAAAAUAAUAUUAAUGGGCACAGGCUGAGUGGAUAAUUGCAUACAUUGAAGAAAAAUGAAUAUACAACCAUGCUGUAGCUUACCUAACAUCAAUUACCCAGAAGAGUUGCUUUACUUUUUUCAAAAAAUAUAUUAAAUAAUUUAUUUCAGGGGGUAUCAUUAUGGUCUUGAAAUUAUCCCAAUUGAAUGAAAAGCUCAGCAACUUACAUGUAUAAACAACACAUGUUGGUAUAAGAAAACCAGACCACGUUAAAAAAAAAAAAUGUGAGUAGGUGUAAAUGAGAUUAUUUAAGGGGGUCACUUAGCUAAAUUGGCAACUGAAUUACAAUAUAAUGUGAGCAAGGGAAAAAUGAAAUGCAAGGAAUUGAAUUUCUUUUCUUACUAAGUGGCCCCUGUCUUUCUCUUUGUAAUUGAGAGUACCCUAUGAGAAAAUCGAAUUGUUUUUGAAUCUCAUUCUGAGAGAAGUUAAGUAUAUCUUCUUCAUGCUUUCACUAUUUUCCGUUUCCUUGCAUUUUAUGUUCAUGUGAUGAAACUUGUGUGAUAACAUGUUUAUAUGCAGAGUGUUUUAGACCUAAAGUGCUGUGGGUAGCAUGCAAUAUUUACUGUCAACUGAUUUGCUCCAUAUAAAAAUAGUAUCAGUGCCUAAAGGACGUCAGUUAAAACUUUGAGCCAUCAUAAACAUAACUCUUUCUGGUUUUUGACAUACUAAUUGGAUUGGACAAGUGGGAUUAGAAAGCCCAAGAGAACUUUGUGGGUUUGAAAUUUUCCAAUGGAAACAAAGCUCUUUGAGUAUUUUCUUCAUAGUCUAGGAAAUUAGAAAAUGAAGGAGUGGGUGGGCAAUCUAGUUAACCUGCCAACUGGGGCAAUUUUCUCCCUUAAAUAGAAGACUUCAUUGUCUGAUCCAAUCUAAUUUUAAAGACGUUUUUCCCCCCUGUUCUCUCUCACAGUCCAAAAGGAAAAAGACAAUUAGAGGAAGAACUGUUAUUUUGAUGCUAUAGAGUGUGCAGUGAGAUUUUGCACGUUAUUUUACUGGGCCUUCAGGAUUAUUCUUUGAGCUACUUAGGACAAUUUUUCACAUCUUGCUUUACAGAUAAAGAAAUUGAAAGCUCAUAUAAAUGAACUUAUGUGUUCAAGGUUUUAGGCUGAUCAAUUAAGGAGCCAAGACUCAACCCCAGAUUCUGUGGCCCUUCCUAAGUGCCUGCCAAAUUAACUCAAAUAAGCUAGUCUUAUCAGCCUCUGUAGCAGUGGUUGUCAGCUGGGAGCCAUACUGGCCUCCAGAGAACAUCCCGCAGUGUUCACUUUUAGUUGUCAUAACUGUGUGUAUGUGCUGGAGGGUGCAAUUGGCAUUUAGGGAGUAGAGGCCAAGGAUGCUUCUAAGCAUCCUCAAAGCACAAAACCAUCUCCACAGCUCAGGAUUAUUUGGUUCAAAAUAUAUGUCAUUAUUGAGAAAUCCUGGUUUAAACAUGAGAUAAAAAAGAAAUGAAAUACAUGUAAACAACUUUUGAAAUAAAGUUAUUUAUACAUGGAUUUUUAGUAUGAUUGGAAAGUGUGAUAAUGACUCUGAACAACAAUGGAAAUAAAUGUAGAAGAAAACCAAAAAACAAACAGAGCCAGAAAAUAAGAUAAAACAAUCCUUAAGAGAAAAAAAAAAUCUUGGGAGGAAAAAAAUGAAGAUUAAAGAUUUGUGAAUGUCCUAGAAUGCAAAGCAAAUAAAAAUAUUCUAAAAUUUAUUCAGCAAUAAAGACUGACGAUGAUGUGAAUCACUGGGCAUCCAGAAGAUUUCACGGACUGUCUCAAGAAUGGACACACUUGAUAAAGUCCUGGAGUAGUAACAGGAAGUACUGUUAGAUGGGCUGAUCUAAGAAGUGUAUAGAAAGAGGAGAAAGAGACUAGGAAAUACUCUUUGAAGCAACAUACAGCAUCAAUGUAUCAAGUGUCCAAACUUGGGAAAUAAAGAAAAAGAAAGAGGGUUUUCUACUCUACCAUUAAAGGUAGAGAGGAGUUUAAGUUUAAAAAUAGGAGUUAAGCCUUCUUACUCUGGAGUUCAUCUUUCUUUUUUUGAAAUCUUUAUAUACGGUGUAUUGUAAUCAAUUUGGUUUGAGGAGUAUAUUUACCUUGUUCAGUCAUUUUAAAAAAUGAUGUAUUACAGAAUAUUCUGAUGUUUUGUAAAAUUUAAGGCAGCCCUGGAAUUUCCAACCUUACCAGGGAUUUAAAAUUAACAGGUUUCAAUAAAAUCAUGGUGUGAGUGUGUGUGCAUGCAUGUGUAUAUAUUUUAAAUAGGACAGAUCCCGUUUUGCUGAAAAUAAAGAUUCCAAACAAUGUACAGCUCUUUGGAAUUCCACUUGUUGGUGUGUAUUUGUGAUUUGUGUGUGUGUGUGUGUGUGUGUGUGUGUGGCUUUCCUAUACCAACAAGAAAUUCUCAGACACCAGCAGGGUGUCUGAGAACUCAACUCAAAUCUGAUGCUCUCAAGAGAGUGUCAGAUUCCAUAGGUUAAGAGCUCAGUCCUCCAAGACUACCUCCCAACCCCCACCAAGCCCAUUUCAAAUACCUGUCAAAAGCCCAAGUAAGUACUUGUACUUCUGACAGACUGACUACCAACUGAAGCAUCCCAUGAUCUCUUCCUUGGAUUUGAUUAAUUUGUUAGAGUGGCUCACAGAACUGAGAGAAACAUCUUACUGACUAGAUUGUCAGUUUAUUAUAAAAGGAUAUAACUCAGAAACAGUAAGAUGAAGAAGAUGCACAGAUGUAAAGGGCGUAGGACUUCCAUGUCCUCUUUAGGUGCCAUUCUCCCAGCAUCUCCAGGUAUUCAUUAACCUAGAAAUUCUCUGAGCCUCCUUCUUUGGGUUUUUAUGUAGGCUUCAUUAUAUAGGCAUGAUUGACUAAACCAUUGGCCAUUAGUGAUUGAACCCAAUCUCCAGCUCCUCUCACCUCCCCCAAGAUCAGAGGUCAGAGAGAAAUUCCAACCUUCUAAUCGCAGGGUUGACUGUCCUGACAACUAGCUCCUGUCCUGAGGUGUUUCCAAAAGUCAUCCCAUUAACACAACAAAAGAUAUCUUUAUUGUUCUCAUCACUCAGGAAAUUCCAAGAGUUUUAGGAUCUCUGUACCAGAAAUGGGGACAAAGACCAAAUAUAUAUUUCUUAUUAUAAAUCAUGAUAUCACAGCAGCCUUAGCUACAUCUCCUUGCCUCUCUUAGCCAUCUUGUUGAAACUGUGAGAAAAGACAGGCAGUUUAGGAUCAGACAAUCUGAGAAAAGGCUGUAAAUCCCACCUCUAUUUCUUACUGGCUUAUGUAGUGCAGAUAUUCCUAAACUUUUCAAACAUUGGUUUCCUAUUUGGUAAACUGGGAAUGAGAACUAUUUAUUGCAAUGGUAUUAAAAAUAUUUCACAAUUAGUGUAGUAUGGAUCCUGAUCAAACAGAAUAGGUGCACUGACCAAUCAGUGGACACUAGCUAGAAACAACCCAUAUGACCAAACCAGUCACUGAUUGUCAGGCCUGCCUUGCUCACAAGGUUCUGGAGAGAAUUAUAUAAUUUUGUUUGUUCAUUUAUUUAGUACAUAUUUAUUACACAUGCACAGGUUCUAGAUGCUCUACUGGGAACUAGGAAUAGAGAGAUAAACAUGAUUUCAUGCCUUUGAAAGUCUCAAGUCUAGUGAGAGGCACAUAUAAAGUAAUAAUUGUGUAUGUACAAGGGAUUAUAAGUAUUGAGCUUUAUUUCACUAUUGCUUGCUUUUAGGUUCCACUCAUGUCUAAGAUCUUCAGGCUUAACUUUUUCUUGGUGUUUAGUGCUGCAUUUUUAGCUGUAUGCUGGACAUGCUUUUGGCUAACUGCAAUUACCUCAAGCAAAAUAACACUCAAAAUAACACUCAAAACUGAAUUUACAACUUUCUGUACAAACCAGUUUUUCUACUUUAUAUUCCAGAAUGAUGCUGUUUUUGAUGUUGCUGUUGCCAGGCUUAAAAUCUUGAAGUUGUCCUUGGGUCUUUCCUAUUCUUUAGGUCCUCUAUCUAACACUCAGCCAAUCCCGUUGGUAUUCCCUGUCCAUUUUCCUCCAUUCCUUUCCUAGACCGAAACUAGUUCAAAACUUAUUAUUUCUUACCUUGUCCCCUUCCAGGCUCUCUGCUUUUACUCCUAAUAUGUAUAUUCCCAAUUCCUAACUUUUUUCAACAACCAAUUUCUAUUUACAUUUUCUUUAUUUUUCAAGACCUAUCAUAUCACUAUGUUCUGUUUUCUAUGGGCUAUUAUUUUCUGAAAUGAACUUGCUCAUAUAUUUUCUUAUAUGGUUAUGUGUCUCCUUGUGUUCCCUCCCCAGUUGACUCAUGCUGACUAUUAGCUACAUGAGCAAAAACUUGACACAGAGGCAUUCAGUAAAUAUGUGGUGAAUGAAUGGAUGAAUGAAUGAAUAAAUGAUUGGUCCAGUUCUUCCCAACUCCUCAGACAAAACUGCCUGAAUUCCCACACGACUUUAUCUGUGUUUGCCUCUUGGCCACAGCUCUGGAUUCUCACAGUUAGUGCCUCUAUCAUCUCACCAGUCAGUGAUUCCAAGAGUCCCUAGAACUCUUGCCCAAGUAGUUCUCCCUAUUAAAAUUAAGUAACUAAAAAUCAACUAAAAAUUAAAAUUUUGCUUAACCAAAACAUCUGUAAUAUAACAUCUCAAUAAUGUUGUUAAAAGAAAACUCUGUGACUUUUAAAAAUUUAUUGCUUUGACAUGAAAAAGAAACCUUAGCAUUAAUCCAUUAGAAUAACCUAUCAAGAACUCGUUUUAUUCUGCACCUAGAUGAAGGUAAAUUAAAGAAUGCAGAUUGAAACUCUAAGUAGGUAAACCCUGCUGUUUCUCAUUUGCCAUGCUAAUCAAGGCUGCAGGAAGAAGUUUCUGACUCCAUUAGCCUAUGUUUUCAUUUUCUACUUCUUUCUCUUCUCAGUCCUCAUGUUCUUUGCCACCAAUCUGAGACUUGGAUACUUUUCCAGAAUAAAAAAAAGGAUCUUAGUCAAGCAUAAACUGCUCAAAACACUCAUGUUAAUUGUAGUGACAGAGAACCAUUGUAAAGGCAUAGAUUAACCUGUUUUAUUUUUUCUGAAUCAAAAAAUGCUCAUUUUUAGCAAACCUGGAGACUAUAAAGAGGGAAACACAUGAGAGAGUAUAUACAAAUUACUAAGUUAAUGGUGCUAACAAUGAAUAGCUCAGAGUACUCUAAUGAUUGAUUUCUAAAUGAAUUGGAUAUAAACUGAUGCUAUAAAGUAUAGAAGAAAGGGAACUCUGACUUGUAUUAUCCUAAGGGAGACACCUCUGCCUUCACAAAUUUUAAAUUUACUUCCAUUUUAAUCACAUUUCAAAGGAAUACCCUAUUAUCUCCCUUUCUUACUCCUUAGUUUCCUGUAACAUUCGACUCAUUGCAACAUUUUAUAUCAGUGUUAAAUGAAAUGCUCCAUAUUAUAGAAACUGAUAUGAAAAAUCCUGCAAGAGGACUUAGAAGACCUGUUUGGGGGAAUUUCUUUUAACUAAGAGAGGGCUACCAUGAACCAUUUUUGCUGAAAGUGAUUUAGUGAUCAUUAUUAAGAGAUAGCCAUGGGAUAUUUAUUUUUUCCAGAGAGCCUUUUAAAGGUAUCCUAAUUUAUGUGGCCAUUUAAUGAUAUUGAUUAUUGCCUAGUGGAACUGGAGAUAUGGAUGCUGAAAUCAGGACUGAUUAUGAAUUAGAUAGUUUAAAAUUUAUGCUGUGGAUGCAUAUCUGCUUAAUUAAACAGAAGUCAUAUACUCUUACAUGAGACACUUUCAUAUGCUUCUUAAAACAUGAAUAAAAAGCAAAGGCAUCUGUUUAUGAAGAGGAAAGGCAACCUAUUACAAGCCUGUAGCUAUUGGUCAGCCUCAAGCUCAGAAACACCCAAUAUCAUUCAGUGUACCCGGCUGAGUUAUUAUUGUUUGAGUUUGUCUUUUACUUCUGCUGGGAAUUGUCUUAGCACUUCCUGAUGUACCUGAAUAAUGAGGUUGUUGCACCUGUGAAAUAAUUAUCACACAAGCCACCAUCACCCAUGGGAUGUUUGGUGCAGCAUGUGGGCCAGCUCAUUAUAUACUGGUGGGCUGUCUUCCUCUUUAUACUUUUCCUGCUUCUUCUCUUUAGUGCAAAUAUGUGAUUUAAUCAAAUGAAGACUAACUUGGCAAAUAGCAUAAAAUUCAUCUGCACCUUCUUCAAAUCAACACUGAAUACAAAUUUCCCAUCUCCAAUUUUAUGUUUGAGGUAUGGAAUAAAUAUAAGAUGAUCAUAUUCAUGGUCACCAAAUCUGUUCC